UUUUUUUUUUUCUGCAUGUACUGUUUAUUUUUGGACUUCUUUGUGAGCCCCAUUAUUAUUCAGGAAGGACAAAAUCAAAAAUGCGUCAAUUCAACUUUAAAAAAAGGUAUAUAUUUUUUUCAGAAUCCAACAAAAAGAAAAAAAA
rnacentral:ribozyme from 14 species